GAAUUAUUCCACCAUUAUACAAAAGGACUAGCAGAGUCUCAUUUAGAAUAUCAUUUUCAAUUCUUAUCACUUCGGUGUGAAAAGGAUAUUGUAGCAAUGGAGAAAAUAAAUCAAAAGCAAUGAAAAUGAUUUGGGGAUUCAGUGAAUUUGGUGAUAGGCAAAAGCCAAAGGAUCUAGGCUUAUGUUGAUUAAGAUAGAUACAUAAGAUGAUAAAACUGAGUCCCAGCCAAUCCAUGAGAAGAUGAGAAGGAAAACAACCACAGAAUUACUCCAUUUGUGCUUAUGAGACAAAGGAUAUUGUUGGAGAGAAACUAAGAUUUGUGUAACACAGAAGCAAAUUUCCAAAGUCCUGGGGUUUAUAUACAUGGCAAAUGAGUUUUCUAGAGCUGUCAUGACAAUACCAUUGAAAUGGAUAACAUAAAUUUAUUCUUUCACAGCUCUGGAGGAAUGUGAUCUCUCUGAACGCUCUAGGGUAAAAUCCUUGCCUCUAUGUAACUUCUAAUGGCUGGGGGCAAUCUUUGGCACUCCUUGAGUUUCCACUGUACCUCUCCAAAGACUGCUUCCAUUUUCACAUGACUGUUCUUCCCUGUGUCAGUCUCUGUGUCUCUUCCCUUCUACAAGGACACCAAUUUUAUUGAUUUAAGGACCAAUCCAUCCCACUCUAGUGUGACUUCAUCUUUACUAACCAGUACUGUGAUGGCCUUAUUUCCAAAUAAUACAGCAUUCUGAAGUUCUAGGGGUCAGAACUUGAGCACAUAUUUUUGAGAGGGGGUUACCUUUUUUUGUUUGGUACUGGGGAUUGAGCUUGGGACCUUGUGCUUACAAGGCAUGCACCACUGAGCUAAAUCCCCGGCCUGGGUUACUAUUCAACAUAUAUCACAUUGAGAUAAUUCAUAGAGUUGUCCAUUGAAAAUAAUCACUCUCUGUUACUAGGAAAAAAACUGUGUGUGUGUGUGUGUGUGUGUGUGUGUGUAUUUGUGUGUUACUCCACUAAGAUCAGGAACAAAGUAAGAAUGUCCAUCUCCACCACUUAUUUUCAACUGUAAUCCCUAGUUAAAGCAAUAACAAAGUGAAAGUGAAUAAUUGUACAAUUUGGGAAAAAGACAUCUAAAAUAGUCUUUGUUCACAGAUGGCAUAAUUAUAUGAAAAAUACAAAAGAAUCUGAAAAAACUUUAACAAAAAUUACAUGUGGACUCUCAUGUCACCUGGGAACAAAGACAGUUUUAUUAUUUCCUUCCAAAUUUGAAUGUCC
rnacentral:lncRNA from 1 species